rnacentral:lncRNA from 1 species
GUAGAAAGUCCCAUUUAGGAGCAGAGCAUGAAUUGGAAAAUUUGGUCAGUGAUUUAUUUAGGCUCCAAAGGGAAAAUCUUGUAGGGUGUUUUUUGAAUAUCCUAAAUUUAUUUUGAUUUGAGACCAGCUUAAAGGGCAUGUCUAUCUUAAAACAGUUCUCCAUUUUCCUGAGAAAAAUUCCAGUAGAGCUAGUUGUGGGAGGUAAUAUUCCAACAAUGAACCUUUUGGGGCCAAAUAAGCACUUUAGCACAACUUACUUCAUCUCAUUCCUUAAACCAAAGCCUGUCUUGCCCACUGGGCAUGUUUAACUUUGACUGCUAAUUUUAUUUCCUUGCAGAGGCAAAAGAGACAGGAAAAAGGAGGGAAAAUAACUGAUGGCAUGUGGGUGAGGUUUUGGCUCAGGAAAUAAAUUUUAAAAAAUCCAGCUAGUACAGAGAUGCAGAAAGCAAUAGGUGUCUGAAACUAUUUCCCUGUUUUACAGAUUAAGAAAUAGAAGCCAGUAGAGGGAAAAUAACUUGCCUAAAGUUACCCAGAAGUUUUCAGGGCUUGGUUUGGUACUGGAAGCUAGUCUACUCAGUGUUUCUAUAAGAAAAUUCGAUAGUCCAGUUCCUCUGUCCAUCAAGAUAUUCCUUUAAUGCCCCUUACCACUUUAUCCCCCAUUCUCCUUUUUCACUGCUGUCUUAACAUCUAAAAAACUAGUCUGA